rnacentral:rRNA from 1 species
GACGAACGUUGGCGGCGUGCCUAAUACAUGCAAGUCAACUGAAAUACCGGUAGCAAUACUGGUAUGGAGGUGGCGCACGGGUGAGUAACACGUAGGUAAUCUGCCUUCAGGUCUGACAUAACCCAUCGAAAGGUGAGCUAAUAUCAGAUGAUGCAGCGGCUUGACAUCAAGACAGUUGUUAAAGCUUCGGCGCCUGAAGAUGAGCCUGCGCUGAUUAGCUAGUUGGCGGGGUAACGCCCACCAAGGCUGCGAUCAGUAGCUGGUCUGAGAGGAUGAUCAGUCACACUGGAACU